rnacentral:rRNA from 1 species
GGAGGAUCCGAGCGNCAUCCGGACCUANNGGGUNUAAAGGGAGCGUAGAUGGAUGNNUAAGNCAGUNGUGAAAGNUUGCGGCUCAACCGUAAAAUCGCAGUNGAUACUGGAUAUCUNGAGUGCAGUNGAGGCAGGCGGAAUNCCGUGUGUAGCGGUGAAAUGCGUAGAUAUACGGAGGAACACCAGUGGCGAAGGCGGCCUGCUGGACAUUAACUGACGCUGAGGCGCGAAAGCGUGGGGAGCAAACAGGAUUAGAUACCCUGGUAGUCCACGCCGUAAACGAUGGAUACUAGGUGUGGGAGGUAUUGACCCCUUUCCGUGCCGCAGUUAACACAAUAAGUAUCCCACCUGGGGAGUACGGCCGCAAGGUUGAAACUC